rnacentral:rRNA from 1 species
CUACGGGGCGCACCAGUGAGGAAUAUUGCACAAUGGGGGGAACCCUGAUGCAGCAACGCCGCGUGGAGGAUGACGCAUUUCGGUGUGUAAACUCCUUUUAUAUGUCAAGAAAAUGGCGGUAGCAUAUGAAUAAGCACCGGCUAACUCCGUGCCAGCAGCCGCGGUAAUACGGAGGGUGCAAGCGUUACUCGGAAUCACUGGGCGUAAAGGACGCGUAGGCGGGUUGGAAAGUCAGGUGUGAAAUCCUACAGCUUAACUGUAGAACUGCAAUUGAAACUUCUAAUCUAGAGUAUGGGAGGGGGAGAUGGAAUUAGUGGUGUAGGGGUAAAAUCCGUAGAUAUCACUAGGAAUACCUAAAGCGAAGGCGAUCUCCUGGAACAUUACUGACGCUAAGGCGUGAAAGCGUGGGGAGCAAACAGGAUUAGAUACCCCGGUAGUC